UUUCAAAUCCUUCUCAUCCUCAAUGAAUCAUCUUCCAUUUGUUCUUUUCAAGAUCUCCCUCUGCUAAGCACUUUAAUGUUAUCAUCAACGGUGAUAUUUCAAGUGAAGAUCCAAUAGAAUAAAGGGUUAAAAUGUAUCAUCAACGGUUAUAUUUCAAGUGAAGAUCUGAUAGAAUAAAGGGUUAAAAUGUAUCAUCAACGGUUAUAUUUCAAGUGAAGAUCCGAUAGAAUAAAGAGAAAUCGAAGAAAGAGGCGAUCAACAGCGCUUCUGGUGUAUUGGAUCUGUUAAUGGAGGCAUUGAAGAAUGUUUUAUCAACGAGAAGCGAAUUAAAGAUAUAUAUUCUGACUCAAGCUUGAUGGUGCAACUGUUGCGAGGUGUCCCUCAUCGUAACAUGUAGCAGAUAUAGAUGCUAAGGAAUGUCCAGGCGCAUCAUUAAUGCUAUUGAGGAGACGCGAUGUUAAAUUUUGCAUGUCGUGGGUCUUCGGAUAAGCUGGUGCAAACCCUUGGUGCUAUGAAAUCAGGUUUGGGUAUGUCGGGCGUAAGCAGAUUUGGACCAUUGGAACUGAACGCUGCAACCACCGGUGAUGAGCAACUGUAAAAUUAGUAGCGAGACAAGAGGAUGCUUGUUUCAAGGGUUGCAAGAAAAUAGAAAUGGUGGAUUAAACAAAGAUUAGGAUUCUAAGGAAAUGACUAUGCAGUUCUUUGAGCAUAGGUUACCAUCUAAAGUUAAAAGUCAAUGAAUGGAGUUAUUUUUAGAUGUCGGUUUAUAUCCGGCUUUUUGUCUACAAUAUGUAUUUUUUUAAAGUCCUUACGUCUGUUAAUUUGAAGAUCUUGGUAAGUUUAUUAUACAAACACAUCAUUUUUUCGGCAUUUGUUUAUUUGUGGUAUAGUGAUUUAGAUUUUUAUCUAAAGCUAUGAAAAACAUCAUAUUCAUCCAUCGAUUAGUUUGACUUUUUUAAAUAAUUUUGAAUUUCAAAGUUAAUAAAUAAAAUCUUUAUCAAAUUCGAAUCCUUACUUUUGGUAAAUUAAAUAGAAUUAUAUUUCUUCUAUAAUUCUCAAUUAUUAUUGAUAAUAAAUUAAAUUAUCUUACAAUGGAUUCAAAAUUCAAAGAUAACAUCUUUGUAUUAUUGUCAUACGUUUUAUUAUUUCUUUAAAAUUAAAUUUAAAAUCAUCUUUAACAAAUUCUGAUUUUUAUUUUUGGUAAUCAAACAUGUACCAUUCUCAAAAUUUUAUUUUGGGUAACUUUAAAAAAUAACUUUCUCUUAUUUUAGUUUGUAGAAUUUCUUAAAAUAACUCCCCUAAUUUUUAUUAUAUAUACAUGUUCCAAAGCCUCAUCCUCAAAUACGGUUUAGAUUUCUUAAACCUAUAGAAAUAUCAGUUUUCAAAAUGGAACCUCAAAACAUAACCAUGUUGAACAAUCUCAAUCGUUUGUCAAACAACUAUACACUCAAGUUGAAGAUCAUUUCCCUUUGGAGGAAAUGAAAAUGAUGCACGACCGUCCGACUGAAACAUACCGUGUCUACAUGAUAUGUAUGGAUGAAGAGGGUCAACAGAUUUAGGGUAGCUGUAUGCAUAGGAUUUUCCCAAGGCUUCAGGACAGCUGGAUGAAUGUCUUCUGAUAACCAGACAAUCACUUGCACCCAACAAUUCAACCUAUAACUACACCAAAAAUAAUCAGAAGUUAACUUUCAGUUUUUUCACCCAGAUUCAAAAAAGUCAAGAUUGGAACGGGCCUAAGUAUAACUUUAAUUUUAUGAAUUUCAAGGACGUUGUCCAAAAUUGAAUUGAAGUUAAUACCACUGUUGGUAUGUCAUUUAAUUCAACAUGUU
rnacentral:lncRNA from 1 species